ensembl:lncRNA novel transcript, antisense to PRKCDBP
GCCACCCCCACCCUAAUCUUUUAUUUUGCAGAUGGGUUCUCUACCUGGCCAGUGCCAUGUUGCCUGUUUCUUUACUGUAACUGUGGUGACAAAGAAAAGGGAAGAUGGAGCCUCCAUGUUGAACAUACCUGGCCCCCAGCACUAACUCCCUCUCUGGAUAUCUGGAACAAGGAGGACCUUAAACUUAACAAUAAAGCCAAUGAUGGUUCUACCAGUCUCCCCAAAGCCUCAAGUUUAAAAGCCAUAUGAACUGGCUGAUAGUGGAAAAUGGAAGCCAUGAGGAAAUCAGAUUAGAGUACUACCUGGUGAAGCCUGGAGGACCUACCAAGAAAAGCAAACUUGGAUCUUUGCAAGGUUAGAAGAACGAAUGGGAUCCAAGAAAAAGACUGGUCAUAUUCAACGGCUAAGAGCGUUGGAGAAGGCCUGUGGAGUCUCAGCAGGUCAGGUCCAUGACUCAUGAGUAGACACCUGUGUUUCUACUGCCUGGUGCCAUAAUCAUAAACAAGAGUAAUCAGCAAAUGCCUUUCCUUUCUCCUGCUGAUGUUUUGCCCGUACUCAGACCCCUUGACUUCUUAGCUUCUACCCAAAGUGAGCUUGUCAUCAAAGUUCUCCAAAAAUCUGCAGUGUUCUCUUGAGCAAAUCUGGUGAGUAUAAUUUCCUCAUCUCAUAAACUUAGGAUCAAAUGACCAUCUCACAAAAUCCCAGGACAAGAAAAGCCUGGGAAACUAGAUCAAGCUUAGACAGCCAGACUUCUCCCUCCGAUUUUCAAGCCUCCUGAUCCCUCCGGUCCCCUUCUCUUUAUGUGCCUGCUCCAUUCUGCUUUCCUUGAAGCUGAGCUUUCUGAGGCUACUUAUACAUGUUGUGAUAAUAGCCAUCCCAAUUCAGCUCAUGUGCCUACCAUCAAAUCCAUCAAAUGAUUGCAGUCAUUGUGC